rnacentral:rRNA from 1 species
GAUGAACGCUGGCGGCGUGCCUAAUACAUGCAAGUCGAGCGAACAGACGAGGAGCUUGCUCCUCUGACGUUAGCGGCGGACGGGUGAGUAACACGUGGCUAACCUACCUAUAAGACUGAGAUAACUUCGGGAAACCGGAGCUAAUACCGGAUAAUAUAUUGAACCGCAUGGUUCAAUAGUGAAAGACGGUUUUGCUGUCACUUAUAGAUGGAUCCGCGCCGCAUUAGCUAGUUGGUAAGGUAACGGCUUACCAAGGCAACGAUGCGUAGCCGACCGGAGAGGGGGAUCGCCCACACGGGAACGGGGACACGGUCCAGACGCCUGAGGGAGGCAGCAGUAGGGAAUCGGCCGCAAUGGGCGAAAGCAUGACGGAGCAACGCCGCGUGAGUGAUGAAGGUCUUCGGAUCGUAAAACUCUGUUAUGAGGGAAGAACAAAUGUGUAAGUAAAUAUGCACGUCUUGACGGUACCUAAACAGAAAGCCACGGCUAACUACGUG